rnacentral:misc_RNA from 1 species
UUUGCCAACAAUUUGGUUUUGUAAUCUUCAUUGAAUUGCAGUCAAGCAUUUAUUCCAUAAAGGAAGUAUUAAUAUAUCAUACCCCUACAAACUUGUUUAAACUUGUUAAAAUUUUGGCAGUGUUUGGAUAUUUAUACAGAGUAACACAGAUCAAUCAUGGCUGUCCCUGGUAAAAAAGUACCACAAAACUUAUCUUCAAGCCUGUCUCAAGGUUCUGGAGAAGAUUUUGAAGUUUUCUGUCAGCCAUGCGACAGAGAUGACCUCAGGCUACCUGUCGCUGGGUACUGUGUAGAGUGUGAAGAGCACCUGUGUGACUCGUGCUUUAACACCCACAGAAGACCAAAACCACUUCGACAUCAUAAACUUCUAGCUAAAGACAACAUGCCACACACUCAUAAUCUGUCUACAAUGUCUGGUACUACUAAUGUUGGACAGUCAGAUGAUCUUACAUCUUGCUCUAAACACACAAAAGAAAUGAUCAAGUUCUACUGCCAUGACCAUAAAGCACUUCUAUGCAGUGUAUGUGUGACCCUUGACCAUACCCGUACAUCCUGUCAGGUUGACAACAUACCUGAUAUAUCUGGACACACCAUCGACAGCAUCCAGUUCAAAGACACUCUUAAAGAGCUUGACAAAAUGACUGAGAAAUGUCAUAAGAUUACAGUAGAUCUGAGGCAAAUAGUUGCAAAAUCAAACACUUCUUUGACAGAUGUUCUCGCAGAAAUAAAACAUUUCAGGGACGAGAUUAACCACAGGUUAGAUGAACUUGAAAAGGAAACUUCAGAUGCAGCGAAUGCCCUAAAACAAGAGAAUGACACAAGGUUGACAACUACAGAAGAAAUAUGUGAUAAUGUCAGUAAAGCUCUGAAAGCAUCAUCUGAUAUGAUAAAAGAAGUCAACACAACCAAGAAAGCAGACAGACUUUUCACUGAGCUUAAAAAUGCGGAGCAACUGAUCAGAGAUAGUGAAAAAAGAAUGCUGCAAGUAAAAUCCACUGGAGCUAUAAAAGAAUAUACAUUUGAUCCAAGUCAAGCCAUUCAAUCACUUCUUCAAAAUGAGAAGUCACUAGGUACAUUAACAGCUAAAAUACAACAACAGCCAAGUCCUCCUUCAACUCCAGCUUUAAAAUCAAGCACAAUUUCACAUCAUAAAAACAUAUGUGUCAAGACAUCAUCAGAUAAAACAGGUUGUUACAUAACCGGAAUGGCAGCUUCUUUUCAAAACCAAAUAUUUCUGGUAGAUUAUAACAAUUACACAAUUAAAAUGGUAGACAUCAAUAGUGAAGCUAUUCAACAACUGAGCCUAGAUUCAUAUCCCUGGGAUAUCACCACAACCACCAGAGAUGAACUUGCUGUAACAAUGCCAGGUAACCACACAAUACAGUUGAUAUCCUACUCCUCAAACAGACUCUCUAAGAAAAACACAAUUGAAGUAGAUGGAUUGUGUUAUGGUAUCAGUAACUGCCAGGGGAAAUUUGCAGUAACAUUUCAGAAACCUGCAAAACUGCAAAUCAUCGACUUGAAAGGUACUGUACUAACAACAGUCAUAACAAACUCAAAUGGUGAAAACAUGUUCAGUUACCCGGAAUAUGUGACUACCAACAGCAAUGCUAUCUAUGUAUCUGACUACGCAAUGCAGACAGUUAUCUGGUUAAACUGGCAAGGAGAAGAAAUGGGUAGUUAUGGAGGGAUGGGAGCUCCGCAAGGUAUUGCCAUGUUAGAUGAUGGAUCAUUCUGUGUGAGUGAUUUACGAAAAGACAAAUGUAACAUACUCAAUGUAACUCGUGACUGUAAAGAGAGUACAACUGUACUCGAGGAUUUAGAUAAUCCAAUGGCUAUUUGCUGGUGUGGUGCUACCAAAACAUUUCAAGUCAGUAACCACAGUGAUGACAAAAAAGAAAUGAACAUCAUUCAAAUCUACGAGAUGUCAUAACACAGAGAAAAGAUUUUCUUCUGAUAUAACAUCAAAGUGUAAAUUAUAUCAAAAUAAUGUUUACUUCUUGAGAGCAGGCAGCUACAAAA